CUGAGGGCAGGCACUGCCAGGUGCACCUCCUGGAUGACAGGAGACUGGAGCUGCUGGUUCAGCCCAAACUUUUGUCAAGAGAGCUUCUGGACCUCGUGGCUUCACAUUUCAACCUGAAAGAAAAGGAGUAUUUUGGAAUCACAUUUACAGAUGACACAGGUCAGCAGAAGUGGCUGCAGUUAGAUCACCGAGUUCUUGACCAUGAUCUGCCUAAGAAACCAGGCCCAACCAUCUUGCACUUUGCUG